rnacentral:rRNA from 1 species
UGGGGAAUUUUGGACAAUGGGCGAAAGCCUGAUCCAGCCAUGCCGCGUGAGUGAAGAAGGCCUUCGGGUUGUAAAGCUCUUUUGUCCGGGAGCAAAUCCUGUUCACUAAUACUGAGCGGGGCUGAGAGUACCGGAAGAAUAAGCACCGGCUAACUACGUGCCAGCAGCCGCGGUAAUACGUAGGGUGCGAGCGUUAAUCGGAAUUACUGGGCGUAAAGGGUGCGCAGGUGGUUACGUAAGUCUGAUGUGAAAGCCCCGGGCUCAACCUGGGAACUGCAUUGGAGACUGCGUGGCUAGAGUGUGGCAGAGGGGGGUGGAAUUCCGCGUGUAGCAGUGAAAUGCGUAGAGAUGCGGAGGAACACCAAUGGCGAAGGCAGCCCCCUGGGUUAACACUGACACU